rnacentral:rRNA from 1 species
UACGUGGAGGGCAAGCGUUGUCGGAAUUAUUGGGCGUAAAGGGUGCGUAGGCGGCGCGGUAUGUCUCUUGUGAAAUCUCCAGGCUCAACUUGGAGUCUGCAAGGGAAACUGCCGUGCUUGAGUACUGGAGAGGUGAGUGGAAUUCCCGGUGUAGCGGUGAAAUGCGUAGAUAUCGGGGAGGAACACCUGUGGCGAAAGCGGCUCACUGGACAGUAACUGACGCUGAUGGCAACGAAAGCUAGGGGAGCAAACAGG